GCAGUCGAGCGGUAGAGAGGUGCUUGCACCUCUUGAGAGCGGCGGACGGGUGAGUAAAGCCUAGGAAUCUGCCUGGUAGUGGGGGAUAACGCUCGGAAACGGACGCUAAUACCGCAUACGUCCUACGGGAGAAAGCAGGGGACCUUCGGGCCUUGCGCUAUCAGAUGAGCCUAGGUCGGAUUAGCUAGUUGGUGAGGUAAUGGCUCACCAAGGCGACGAUCCGUAACUGGUCUGAGAGGAUGAUCAGUCACACUGGAACUGAGACACGGUCCAGACUCCUACGGGAGGCAGCAGUGGGGAAUAUUGGACAAUGGGCGAAAGCCUGAUCCAGCCAUGCCGCGUGUGUGAAGAAGGUCUUCGGAUUGUAAAGCACUUUAAGUUGGGAGGAAGGGCAUUAACCUAAUACGUUAGUGUUUUGACGUUACCGACAGAAUAAGCACCGGCUAACUCUGUGCCAGCAGCCGCGGUAAUACAGAGGGUGCAAGCGUUAAUCGGAAUUACUGGGCGUAAAGCGCGCGUAGGUGGUUCGUUAAGUUGGAUGUGAAAUCCCCGGGCUCAACCUGGGAACUGCAUUCAAAACUGUCGAGCUAGAGUAUGGUAGA
rnacentral:rRNA from 1 species